rnacentral:misc_RNA from 1 species
GAUGAAGAACGUAGUGAAAUGCGAUAAGUAAUGUGAAUUGCAGAAUUCAGUGAAUCAUCGAAUCUUUGAACGCACAUUGCGCCCGCCAGUAUUCUGGCGGGCAUGCCUGUUCGAGCGUCAUUUCAACCCUCAAGACCCCUUCGGGGGACUUGGUGUUGGGGACCGGCAUAGGGGCCUUGCGCCCCUCGCCGCCCCCGAAAUGAAUUGGUGGCCUCGUCGCGGCCUCCCCUGCGUAGUAGCACAACCUCGCAACGGGAACGUGACGGCGGCCACUGCCGUAAAACAACCCAAUUUUAUUAGAGUUGACCUCGAAUCAGGUAGGAAUACCCGCUGAACUUAAGCAUAUCAAUAAGCGGAGGA